CAAUUCCUAGAGCACACGGCGCGACAACUCUUCGCGCGCGCCUCAGGGGCGGGACCUCACCGAGGGAGUGGAGCAGCAAGCUGAGGGAGGAGAAGAGCGGUGGUGGGCGGAGUCCUGCCACCUGCUCUCGCCACCCUUAAACUCUCCGGGUCUCGAACUGCGCUGAAAACAGGAAAACGUGACGGCGUGUUUUGCUCGGGAAAGUUCUGAGCCUUCGCUUUUAAGCCCCGCCUCUGGCCCAGGGCUAACUUUCCCCACCUGUCCGGGAGGUCAAGGUGCUAUGAAUAACCUUAAUGGCAACAACAACUUGUUAGCCUCCUCACCUUCUUCCUGCCUCCCACCCCCCAUACACCCGAUUCCUUAAGCCAGGAGCAAAAGGAGUUGGUAGCCUAUUUAAGGAGGGAAGAUAGAAAGCAUAGGCAUCCUCCAAGAAGAGAGUAAAGGCUCAAGGGUAGAGAUGCCCAGUCCUAGACCCUGGUCUUUUCCACAUGGAAGAACAUCUGACGACCAAGUGUAGAGACAAUGAGGACAUAUCUUAGCCAAGAGAUCAAAUGAUAUCUAGUAGAAAAAUCCCAGUGGGUCUACUCCGGUCUUUGACUGUCUUCACUAAUCCAAACAGAUAAAGAGGAUACUUUGAAGGCAGGCUGAGACACCUUGAAGAACUUGUGGCCCCAGCACACUGAUGGAGAAGUUAUAGAAGGUAGACAAGGGAAAGGAGAAACAUGGGGCCCCAUAUUUAUAGGUCAUCAUAGCUAGACGCAAAGAGAAAAUUGACUGAUAUAUCUUUUUUAGAUAUGAAAGGUGUUGGAAGGGGAGAAAAGGACAAUUUACUGGAAUCUAAUUAUUUUCCCCAGUUUAUCUGUCACUUUAGACACAUCCCUUGCCUUUAUCUCAUUUUUAUUACCUUCGUGACUCUUCUAACAGAAACAUGCCACAGCGAAACAGCAAUAAAAUAUCAUCUUUGUGAUCUUCCUUGAAGGCAGUGGGGCAUGACGUCAAUGGAGUGACAACAACAAUCAAGGAGCAAGUACACAAGAAGGAGGCCAGAAUGUGAUUAAGUGCUGGCAAGUGAUGGAGUGUGUACGGAUUCAGAUUUGGACUGUGUGGUUCAGGAAGUUCUUCUCGAGAAGGUGACAUUUGAGUGGGAUGUGAAAGGCAAGAAGGAGUCAGCCAUGACAAAAUCAGGGGGAAGAGCAUUUCAGAUACAGAGACCAGCUGGUGCAAAGGCCCUGAGUGGGAAUAAGCCUGGAAGAAGACCAAGACCAGGAUCUUGAAGUAGAAUGCAUUUCUAAGGGUCAACUCCCAAGGUCAAGAGUAAUCUAAGGAGUCUGUCUGCUCCCUGUGGUUGUUUGUGAGGAAGUCAGAGAGAGACACAGACCAAACCUCUUAUUAUGGAGAAGAGGGUGUGUGUGUUUUUUCUUUCCCCUGAAAAACAGACAGCAGAAGAAGUGUAUUUAUCUGAAUCUCUCCCUGCAGAGGAUGUGCCACCCACCGUCCCCUCUCCCAAGGGCCAUGGACCUGGGAGUCACUUCCCUGACUCCACAUGACCCCCUUCUCAGGCUUCAGAUUGUUCCUCUGGGCCUCCAUUCCUCCUGCUCCUUUGGUGGUCCAGUCUCCUCAUUUUCACCAGAUUUCAUGCUGGACAACAUGCUGGAGUGAAGGAGGGAGUGACUCUGGCAACCUGAAGAGAUACUUUGCAUCCCUGGCAGCUACUGCCCUGGCUCCCCAGGCCCGGAGCAAUGGGCAGGUUGUGCCUGGUCCUAGCCAGAGUUCUAUGAACCACCUACCACAAGGUUGUGGGCAGAGCCCCUGUGACAAUGUGGAUGAUUCAGAGCAGGGAGCCAACUUCUUCUGACUCUUCCUUUAGUUCUGGUUGCCAUGGCACUGCACUGAAGGCCAACAUACAAGAGCGGCUUACGCUGAGUGAGGACAUACCAUAGGCUUGACUCUGCGCUAAGGUCUCUAUAGGCCCAUCUCAUGAAACCCUCACAAUUUUCCUUCAGAGAAGGGAUCUUGAUCUCCAUUUUUAUAGAGGAGACUCUGAGGGGUUGAGUAACCUGCCUGCCUAAAGUAAUAGAGAUAGGAUUCUAACCCAGGAGUCAAGCUCCAAAACCUCAAGGGGCUUAAUCAUGAUGCGCCUGCCAUAGCCUUACCCUUCAUUUUUCCUUCCCCAGCAUUGCAAUCUUAAGUCACAAAGCACAGAGCCUCCGUGCACCAGUUCAAGAGAUACUCUGCAGAGAUGCCACCUAGAUUCUCCCCAGGCCCUGCCUAGCCAAAAAGGACCUGUGAUACCUGUGAACAGAAGCAGAAAGGCUGUUGGUCAGGAGUGCAGGGGAAAGGGGUGCUGGACCAAGUUGGAGCCUGGAAAAAAAUGAGAAAGCUUGCUGACCCCUGUUCUACAGGAAUUUACAAUCGAUAGCAAAAUGUCUUUCUCACACAUAUACAGAGCCACAUGCUCUCCCCACACAAGAGCCUGAAGCGCAUGCAUGCUACUUCAUCUGCCCACAGAGUCCUCUUUUCCUUCUUCGUCUGGCCAAUUCCUACUCAUCCUUCAAACUCAGUUGAGAUGCCACCUCCUUCACUCAACCUUUACUUGGCAAAAGUCCUCUCCUCCUUUGAGAUCAUUGAUAGCACCAGGAUACAUGGAGAAAGAGACUGAGUCCUUGCCCUCAGGUUGCUCUAGGAUGGAAGUGGAAGAACAAACUGGUAGUAGGAUUCAAUGUGAUGGAGAUGUGUGAAACUUCACUGACUGAAGACUUUGGAGCUCCAAAGCUGGUUACUUUUAAAAAUAUUUAAGUAGGUUUUUUGAACCACUCUGUUCAGGUCACGCUUCCGUGCUUGGUUCAGCCUUCCUCCCAGAAGAUGUGGGUGCUUUGUGAUAAAGACUGGGGCUGGGGAGUGGGAGAAAUCCUCUGCUGAGAACAGUGACAGGUACAGAAAGCAGGUCGGUCCCCUAUCCAAGCUCAGCGAUUCCCUUCAAAGGGAAAGAUGUAGGGUGAAGUGGUGAGGAAUGGGUGUCAAUGUGGGCAGGAGAGGGAAAAGCCAGUAUAUCCACUCAUGUUUUUCAUCAUAUUCACCAGCAUUUGGCAAGUCCUGAUGGAAUCAAUCAAUUAUUUGCCACACCUUGUUUACAAUCAGGUCCCGAAGUUUACAGUGGUGAAUGAGACAGACAUGGUUCCUGCUCUCCUGAAGCAGUGGGGAAGAUCAGGAAACAGAUGAAAGAUUUCUAAAAAUCAUUAAAAUUUAUGAAGAGAAUCACCAAGUUCAGCACCCCCUGACACACAAGAAGAGAUUUAGUCUUCACCUCUUGAAGAAGAGAAUAUCACAGAACUUGUGGACGUAUUUCAAACCCACCAUAGGAGUGCUACCCAUACCUCCCCGGUUGUUUUCUGUUAUAUACAAGCUUUGGAGCAGUCUAAUGUCUGCUUUAGUCUUUUGUGUACUGAGGAAUUCAGUAAAGAAUCCUAAAUAAUUACGAAUUGCUUUUGACACCAAGAGUUUUGGAUGAAGGUUUAUGUUUCUAUAGUAUAAUGAUAAGCUUGCAGUAUGUUUUUUUUUCAGUUUAAAUAAGCUAAAGAAAUCCAGAGUGUUUUGAAAUAUUUUCAAGCUGGAAGGAACCUCAUGGAUUAUCCAGUAACCAGAGUUUAGUCUCAUUGCCCUUACUCUACAGAUGAGUAACUUGAGACUCAGAGAGGGAAAAAAAAGUGUUUGCUAAGAACGUACAUACUAUGUUUCAGACACUGCUAAGUGCUAUAGAUAUAUCAUUUUAUUAAAUUCUCCCAGCUUUUUUGAUGAGGAAAAUAAGGAUCAGAGAGGCAAGUAGCAUAUCCCUAGAUUAGACAUCUAGUGUGUUUUGGAAACAGGGCUAAAACCCGUAUCUCCCAAAUGCCAGCCAGAGCCCUGCACAUGUAACACCCUCUCUCAUGACCCCAUGGGAUGUGACAGCAGGCUGGUAAGGCCUAGGUACCAUAUCCCUGAAGGAUCAAGAUGAAGGGUUUUCUCUCCAAACAUCCAGGCCCCUCUUUAGUCUCUACAUCUCACCUGACUUCUGCUUCCCGAGCUAAUGUCCAACCUGAGAGUCUUCUCUGGAAACCAGACAAGAACCACAGAAGUUACAGAAGAAGUGACCCCAUGCCUGUUGCCUCAUCCUCAGACUGGGUUUCUGAACUU